rnacentral:rRNA from 1 species
UUGCUCCUCUGACGUUAGCGGCGGACGGGUGAGUAACACGUGGAUAACCUACCUAUAAGACUGGGAUAACUUCGGGAAACCGGAGCUAAUACCGGAUAAUAUAUUGAACCGCAUGGUUCAAUAGUGAAAGACGGUUUUGCUGUCACUUAUAGAUGGAUCCGCGCCGCAUUAGCUAGUUGGUAAGGUAACGGCUUACCAAGGCAACGAUGCGUAGCCGACCUGAGAGGGUGAUCGGCCACACUGGAACUGAGACACGGUCCAGACUCCUACGGGAGGCAGCAGUAGGGAAUCUUCCGCAAUGGGCGAAAGCCUGACGGAGCAACGCCGCGUGAGUGAUGAAGGUCUUCGGAUCGUAAAACUCUGUUAUUAGGGAAGAACAAAUGUGUAAGUAACUAUGCACGUCUUGACGGUACCUAAUCAGAAAGCCACGGCUAACUACGUGCCAGCAGCCGCGGUAAUACGUAGGUGGCAAGCGUUAUCCGGAAUUAUUGGGCGUAAAGCGCGCGUAGGCGGUUUUUUAAGUCUGAUGUGAAAGCCCACGGCUCAACCGUGGGGGGUCAUUGGAAACUGGAAAACUUGAGUGCAGAAGAGGAAAGUGGAAUUCCAUGUGUAGCGGUGAAAUGCGCAGAGAUAUGGAGGAACACCAGUGGCGAAGGCGACUUUCUG